CUAAGGGCGGUGAAGUCAGACCGGAAGGACUGGUGGAGCGCUUAGAAGUGAGAAUGCCGGUAUGAGUAGCGAAAGAAGGGUGAGAAUCCCUUCCACCGAAUAUCUAAGGUUGCCUGAGGAAGGCUCGUCCGCUCAGGGUUAGUCGGGACCUAAGCCGAGGCCGAUAGGCGUAGGCGAUGGACAACAGGUAGAGAUUCCUGUACCAGGGCUAAUUGUUUAACCGAUGGGGUGACACAGAA
rnacentral:rRNA from 1 species